CCUACGGGUGGCAGCAGUGGGGAAUAUUGCACAAUGGGGGAAACCCUGAUGCAGCGACGCCGCGUGAGUGAAGAAGUAUCUCGGUAUGUAAAGCUCUAUCAGCAGGGAAGAAAAUGACGGUACCUGAUUAAGAAGCACCGGCUAACUACGUGCCAGCAGCCGCGGUAAUACGUAGGGGGCAAGCGUUAUCCGGAUUUACUGGGCGUAAAGGGAGCGUAGACGGGAGCACAAGUCUGGAGUGAAAUGCAGGGGCUUAACCCCGGCAAUGCUUUGGAAACUGUGCAGCUAGAGUGCAGGAGAGGUAAGUGGAAUACCUUGAGUAGCGGUGAAAUGCGUAGAUAUUAGGAGGAACACCAGUGGCGAAGGCAGUCUGCUGGACAGCAUCUGACGCUGAGGCGCGAGAGCGUGGGGAGCAAACAGGAUUAGAUACCCCGGUAGUC
rnacentral:rRNA from 1 species